GAUGAACGCUGGCGGCGUGCCUAGUACAUGCAAGUCGAGCGAACAGAUGAGGAGCUUGCUCCUCUGACGUUAGCGGCGGACGGGUGAGUAACACGUGGAUAACCUACCUAUAAGACUGGGAUAACUUCGGGAAACCGGAGCUAAUACCGGAUAAUAUAUUGAACCGCAUGGUUCAAUAGUGAAAGACGGUUUUGCUGUCACUUAUAGAUGGAUCCGCGCCGCAUUAGCUAGUUGGUAAGGUAACGGCUUACCAAGGCAACGAUGCGUAGCCGACCUGAGAGGGUGAUCGGCCACACUGGAACUGAGACACGGUCCAGACUCCUACGGGAGGCAGCAGUAGGGAAUCUUCCGAAAUGGGCGAAAGCCUGACGGAGCAACGCCGCGUGAGUGAUGAAGGUCUUCGGAUCGUAAAACUCUGUUAUUAGGGAAGAACAAAUGUGUAAGUAACUAUGCACGUCUUGACGGUACCUAAUCAGAAAGCCACGGCUAACUACGU
rnacentral:rRNA from 1 species